rnacentral:miRNA from 1 species
GUGUGUGUGUGUGAGUGUGUGU